AGCGGGGAGCAAGGCCUGCGGGGAGGCGCAGGAUGGACGCGUUGGCUGUCAUGAUGUAGGACCUCCUGACCUAGAACCAUGCCCGGCGCAGGGAGAACAACGAGCUUACGGACCGGGUGCGGGGGCUGCUGUGCGAGAAAGCCUACCUGCUGGCCCGGGAGCGUUCGCCGGCCCACCUGGUGGCUUUCCCUGGACGUUUAACGGCGACUCCGCCCGGCCUCCCGACUUUUUGAUGCAGGCGUUCUCUUACAUGACUUUCUUCGAGGCUAGAUUCUCGAAAGACAUCCUGAAGGUGGCUUUCUUAAUUAGCUGCCUCACCGGCUGGCGGAGCAGUUCGUAGUCGCCUACAUCGAGAGGGAGAGCCCCGUCCUGGCUCAGUACUGGGGCUUCGUGGACGCGCUGUAGCGGGUCUUCGCCGUCGUGGGUAGGAAACAGUCGGGCCGGAUCCCCGGUGUCUGGGGAGCGGCUGCCGGCCGGGCCCGCGCGAGCCGCUUCACUCCUACAAGCCCGGCUCACUAGUUCCAAGCUGCUGGACUUUGACCCUCGCUGGGAAGCUUGAUCGCCGCCUGUUCUCGCCAAUCUCUAUGCCUUUGCACUGCCCAGCAACCCGGUCACUGCCCAGGACCUGUUAAAAGUUGAAUGGACCUCCCAGAAUCACGCCGCUGCCACCGCCGUUUCUAGAGACGGCUUUUGGCCACCUUUGAGAAUCAGGGUCAAACUUGGAAGGGCCUGCAUUUGUCACACUUCCUCGGACACUAAUUUGGAUAGUUCAGGCCCAGAGACGGCUUCCCGGGUUAGUGUGCCUGACAACACUGAAGAAAAAUUGUGACAUUUUCCUUCCCCAGAAUUACUUCGUUUUAUACAUUUCACUUCUCUUCUGAAAUCACAGCAAUGCCAGUUUGCGCCUUUUGGUCUGAGGAACGCAGGCCCUGGCCACUACCAGGAAAAAGUAUUUACUUUUAAAACUUGAAUGUAUAUCUUUACCGUAUGCCUAGUACAGUAGUGCUUGGAAGAAACAGAUUAGUAAGACAAAAUAUAUGUCUUCAAGAACACUUACGUUCUGAGAAAGAAUUCUGAAUGCAGAUUCUAAUGUCUGGUAAAAUGCUUUACAGUGUAAAGAAUGCAUAUAUGAUUCUUAUUUUAUGGCAUUUUAAACUUUCCACCCCACGGUUUUAAAGUGUUAAUAUAUGUUAAAAAUAUAUGCAAUUUAUAAAGGAGAAGGAAAGCCCAGCUUGAUUUUUGCUGCCAAAGAUGGUAUAUUUAAAAUUAAACGUAACUAAUGGCAAAAAAUAAUGGGAAUGGUGCAGUCUUUGAGCUGUAUCCAGUUGGCAUUAUUCUCUUGGACUAAAAGGAAUAGUAUUAACUUCCUCACUUUGGAUCCUUUGCACAUGGCCUGCUAUCAACAAUCCUCUACAAUGAUUCUCAGCAUCACCUAGGGAGCUUAUGUAAAAUCUCAAAUUCCUGGGCCCUAUCCCCAGAGUUUCUUAUCAAGUAAGUCUGCAUUGGGAUCUGAGGAUUUGCAUCUCUAACAAAAAUUCCUAGGCGAUGCUCACACUGUUGGUGUAAGGUUUCCUUGAUGGAGAACUAUCAAAGCAGUCAAAGCUAUCAAAAUAAAAAAGAAUUCUGAUUGGGUGCAGUGGCUCACACCUGUCAUUCCAGCACUUUGAGAGGCCAAGGUGGGCAGAUCACAUGAGGCCAGGAGUUCAAGACCAGCCUGGCCAACAUGGCAGAAACCCCAUCUCUACUAAAAAUACCAAAAUUAGCCGGGCAUGGUGGAACACACCUGCAAUCCCAGCUACUCGGGAGGCUGAGGCAAGAGAAUCGCUUGAACCUGGGAGGCAGAAGUUGCAGUGAAACAAGUUGGUGCCAAUGCAUUCCAGCCUGGAUGAUGGAGCGAGACUCUGUCUCAAGAAAAAAAAAACAAAAACAAAAACAGAACUCUGCCUCAUAGCGUCUUUUAAGUUAUACACUGGACCUAUCCUUUCCUCACUGACAGACAUUUUAAAAAUUUUUUGGUAAGGCCUAGUUCAUAUAAAAUGUAAUCCAAGCCAAAAGUUAACAAGAAUAAGGGGAGGAAAGGGGACUCCAAUAGCAGAGAAAGGUAUUUACCUGGGAUAUACACUGCAAGAAAAUCAAAGCUAUAAGAAACGUCCAUGAAUAGUAGCCAUAAGGCAUCAGAGUGAUAAAAUUCCUGUCCCUAGGAGGGAAUAUUGGAGUUUGCCAGAGAAACAGAAUGAGAGAGACAGAGAGGUUUAUUGUAGGAAUUGGCUCAUAUGAUUACGGAGGCUGAGAAGACCCACGAUCUGCCAUCUGCAAGCUGGAGAAUCAGGAAAGCUGGAGGUGUAAUUCAGUCAAGUCCAAUGGCCAGAGAAGCAAGUGUACUGAUAUCCAAGAGCAGGAGAAAAUAGAUGUCCCAGAACAAGCAGAGAGGCUGAUUUUGUCCUUCCUCUGCCUUUUUGUUUCAUAUGGGGCACUGAAUGGACUGAUGCCCAUCCACAUUAGUGAGGGUGGAUCUUCUUUACUCAGUCUACCAGUAGAAAUGUCAAUGACUUCCAGAAACACCCUCACCAACACACGUGGAAAUAAUGUUUUACCAGGUAUCUGGGCAUCCCUUGGUUCACUCAAGUUGACACAAAAUUAACCAUCACAGAAGGAGACUGGCCUUACUCUGAAAUUAGGAAACUAAAGAAGUGACCAGAAUGGAGACUAGGUAGAGACAACUAGUUCUCUACCAAACAUGUACAGUUAUUCGUUGGUAUCUGAAGGGGAUUGGUUCCAGGAACUCUCAGGGAUACCAAAAUCUGCAGGUGCUCAAGUCAUUUAUAUAAAAUAUUACAGUAUUUGCAUAUAACCUUUGCACAUCUUCCAUAUACUUUAAAUCAUCUCUACAUUACUUAUAAUAAUGAAUGUGUAAAUGCUAUGAAAAUAGUUACUACACUAUUGUUUAUUUGUAUUUUUAUUGAAUUGUUUUGGGGUGGGGGGCAGCUGUAUCUUUCUUAGUAAUAGAACCCCUGGUUUUAGCUGGGCACAUGACUGCCCUCAAUAAAGAUUAAAGUACCCCAGCCUUCCUUGAGAUUGUGGCCAUGUGACUGAACUUUAGACAGUGAGAUAUAAGCAGAUAUCUUCUGUGGCAGUGUUAGGAAACUAUUAAAGACAGUAAGAACAUUGCCCUUUGCCUUCUUUUUCCUUUCUUCAUUUUUCUGCCUGGAAUGCAAAUGUGAUGGCUAACACCCUAGCAGCCAUUUUAGAUUAUGAAGAUGAGAGUCACUCCCCAGGAAGGGUGGACCUGAAAGCUGGAUUCUAGAUGUGGAAUGACAAUACCAGCCCUGGACUACCUACCUGUAGGCUGUGUGUGUGUGUGUGUGAUUGACAGAGAGAGAGAGAGAUAGAUACCACAAGUAACACAAAGCAUCAUACCUGGGACUGGGAAGGUUAAUGUUUAAACAUUUUAAAUGUGGCAUUGGUUUGUUGAAGACAGUCAAGCAGUAGGUGCUGCAGGCUUUGUUGAGGCUAGAAAGCUGUUGGUCUUUAUUAGGUGAUGGCAAAACAAUGGAUCACAUUUUCAUGUGCUGUGUCUUGGGAGGCAAAUGAUGAGAAUGUAGGAUUGGGGAAAAUGGUAAGGAAAAUCCAAAAUGUUCAUGUUUUCUAACCCCUUCUUGCCAAUCUUAAAAGAAGGACAAACAGGCUAGAUUAAGCAAGUCUACAGUUACAAUUGGAAGGAAACACAGCCGUACUAAGGAAGUACUCUGUCUGUGGCCUGCAGUCUAGUUUGACUAGGUCCUGUAUUUGAGCUUUGAAAGAGUAAAGAAUACAAGUGCUCGUAUACCCCUGAAGUAGUUACCAGCAGUGACUGCAAGGAGGUAAUCUUAUGGGAUGAAACUAUAACUCUGUAUUAACCAUCAUAUAUAGCAUAUAUGUGUAUAUGUAUGUGUGUGUGUGUAUAUGUGUAUAUAAAUAUAUGUGUGUGUAUAUACACACAUGUACACACCCUACAACCCAGUGAUUUCAAAAAAUUAAACAUUUGUUUAGCUCAUGAAUCUGUGGGUUGGGUGAACAUUUCUAUUGGUCUUGGCUGGGCUCACCUGUACCCAGUCAGCUGCAGGGUCUAGCUCUUCUUAUCUUGGCUGGGAUCUCACACAUGUCUAGGAUCAGCUGCUUUACUAGUCUAGGAUUGUCUUGGCUGAGACAGGUGGACUACUCAGUUCUCCUCCACUGCCUUAUCCUUCAGCUGGCCAGCCCAGAAAUGUUGCCAUGUUUACAGCAUAAGAGCAAGCAAGAAAGAAUAAUAUGCAACCACUUUUCCAAGCCUAAGGUGAAAGGGCGGGCAGAACCUGUGGUGUUAGGAGGCAACUCAUACCAGCCCAUGGGUCUACCGUUUAAUUUUCAGAAAUUUGGCAAGCUGAUUGUUAACACAGCUGUUGUUUAAUUUAUGUACUUGUAAUUAAAUAAUUUACAUUAAAACAAAGAUAAUAGGUACUCAAA
rnacentral:lncRNA from 1 species